GGGCACUGGAAGGUAAUAACUAAUGUCACAGUCACUGUGAAUGGAGAAUUCAACAACCACACCAACAGGAAUGACACAGCCCCGUUAUAUACUCCUGGGGAUCCUUACAUACCACUGUAUGUAGUGGGAGCCUUGUUCUUCUCCUGCCUGUUUGUUACUGUCAUUGUCAUGAUGAAAAAUACCAAGAUUUCGCAAGCAGAAUCUCACACUCUGAGAAUGAAAAG